CCCUUAGAUGUUCGGAGCUGCACGCGCGCUACGCUGAAGGAAGCAGCGUGUUAGAGCACCUGGCUUGAAAGAGCUGGGUAAUCCGGUGAAUGUCCUUCGUGAUUGGGAUAGGGACUUGUAAUUAUUUCCCUUGAACGAGGAAUACCUAGUAAGUGCGAGUCAUCAGCUUGCGCUGACUUACGUCCCUGCCCUUUGUACACACCGCCCGUCGCACCUACCGAUUGGAUGGUCCGGUGAAGCCUCGGGAUUGUGGUUCUUGCCGCUUUAUUGUGGCGUGACCGCGAGAACUUGUCUAAACCUUAUCAUCUAGAGGAAGGUGAAGUCGUAACA
rnacentral:rRNA from 1 species